GGAGAAAUGGCAGAGUGGUCGAUUGCGGCAGUCUUGAAAACUGUUGUACCGCGAGGUACCUGGGGUUCGAAUCCCUAUUUCUCCGCCA
rnacentral:tRNA from 2 species